AUUGAACGCUGGCGGCAGGCCUAACACAUGGAAGUCGAGCGGAUGAAGGGAGCUUGCUCCUGGAUUCAGCGGCGGACGGGUGAGUAAUGCCUAGGAAUCUGCCUGGUAGUGGGGGAUAACGUCCGGAAACGGGCGCUAAUACCGCAUACGUCCUGAGGGAGAAAGUGGGGGAUCUUCGGACCUCACGCUAUCAGAUAAGCCUAGGUCGGAUUAGCUAGUUGGUGGGGUAAAGGCCUACCAAGGCGACGAUCCGUAACUGGUCUGAGAGGAUGAUCAGUCACACUGGAACUGAGACACGGUCCAGACUCCUACGGGAGGCAGCAGUGGGGAAUAUUGGACAAUGGGCGAAAGCCUGAUCCAGCCAUGCCGCGUGUGUGAAGAAGGUCUUCGGAUUGUAAAGCACUUUAAGUUGGGAGGAAGGGCAGUAAGUUAAUACCUUGCUGUUUUGACGUUACCAACAGAAUAAGCACCGGCUAACUUCGUG
rnacentral:rRNA from 1 species